UCUGAAUUCUGGAUUCCUAAA
rnacentral:piRNA from 1 species